CGUAGCAGAUUUUUUGAUAGUCGGAAUUAAUAUUUUGGAUAGAUUUAAUUUUUGAAUGAAACACUUCCUUCUCGUUCAUUGCAUUAUCUGUUGCACUUCAAAUGCACAUAUUUAUGUUUAUCUGUUGUAGGGUUGCCAUACAACAAGUAUUAUUCGAAAUUGUAGGUAUUUUGGCUGUCAUUCCAGGAAAACUUUGUAUAGUUUUGAUAUACUUUAAGUAUUGAUUUUUGGAAAAUAUAAUAUUUUAGAGACAUGAUAACAAAUGUUAUCAUAGGUUUUUUAAGGCUGUUCUGGAAUGAUAUUUGUUAGGUUUUGUUUACUUCAAGGUCUGAUACAGAAACUGGAGUAAUUUUCAUCUAAUGAAUUAGAGUAUUUUAUUGUUUAUUCGUUUGCCACCCGGCUUUUGUUUUGGGUCCUUUAAAUUCGAGAUCAUUCAGUGCGCCGUUCUUUCUGUGACGAGAUCCUCUUGUAUAGUGAUCGGACGGCCGUAUAAGGGCCUGGAGCCCGGCAUGCCACGUGCUGCCGUGGCGUUCCAUAUUUUGUGUGGUGCGUUCUGUCAGUCUGACUGGCAGAAACAUGCUAAGGGUGGGAGUGCUCCUUGGAGAUCCUCGGUCUGCAGUCUGCAGGUCUCCGGAGUCGGGAAGAAGUAAAGAAUUAGAGAAUUGCAGAAGUAGAUAAUUAAACAAGAACCUUUACAAUUUCGAUGUGCAAGGAAACUUCUUUGGCUUACUGGCGCAAGGUGUCUUUGGACCUUGUUUUCGUAUGGAAGGGUCAGCCCUGUCCACGUGGCGAGGGGGCGUCAGCACCGGAGUCCGGGGAGCAGCCGGCUCAUCCCUGACAAGGUGUGUCUCCUGCCCGUUUCCUGCCGGUAAUGCUGUGUAAUUCAGGUUUUUAAUUUCUGUGUAAAGUAAUUUCUGAUUUCAUUUAUUUUGAGAAUUCUGGUGCAUAACUUUAGGUAAAUUCAUAUUUAGUUUUUGUAGAAUAAAUGGUUGUAAGAAACCUUUUCCUGGACCCUCUUAAAGCGGCCCAGCUUUACCACUGAGCGUAGUUCAUAUUUUAUAUGGUGUCGAAUUUAGUAUUUCGGGAAACAUUAAAUGAAACCUUUCUGUAGGCAAGAGUUUAUUUAUAAUUAAUAAAGUUAUAAAAUGUGA